UCCCUACUUUUUGUGAGCCACCAGCCCCUCUCUGUGUUCUCCUUCCUUGUUGAUACCCAGCCGCACCACCUCUCCCUGACGCAGACUCUGAUGACCGGUGACCUCUUUGACUGACGUCAACUCCAACCAUCGUCAGAAGAGAAAGCUUUGAUCUCUUUCCGUCAUCCCAAGAGUAAAUCAUCUUAGAAACUUGGGCUAGACAAAACAAAGGUACUCCGAGGCCACCAGCAGUGGCGCGCCACCUCCUGCGAACAACAGCAGGCGCGACAUCUGUCUUGGUACCGGACGAUGGUUCUAUUGCAGUUGGGGCAUUCGGGGCAUUUGGUUUUGGCGACAUAACUCCUCCAUAGCUCGGGUUCAGUAUUCCGUGAAGGUCGGCGACCUCGAGUGCAGGUUCCUCACAGCACACAGCAGCGUGGUAUCAGUUGGGGGUAUUUUUCUGUUGCAAGAAAAACGCUACAGCAAAAUUCCAUGGCAUUUGGCACCUACUCGUAACCAUUCAAUGCUCGAUUUACACAACCCACACCCCAUCGUGUUAGAUCUAAGUUACCCACACUUAAAUGAAGUCGCUUUUGGCGGUGUUGAAUUGACGGGAGGUUUAGAAGCAUAGCAGUGUGUGUAAACCGAAUCCUUAGCCGUGGUGAUGACGUGGAGGAGGCUUGAUCGAGGGAGGACCAUUAGGCUGCGUACUUUUGUCUAGGAUAGUUGAAUUAUAAUUUGAUUGUUGGGAGCAUUAGGGACUCGUUGUUGGCGGUGAACUAGCAAUUGUUGUUUUUGAUGUGUUGAACGAUUUUCCAGAUGAAUCGUUGUUUUACUUAUUUAAAUUUCUUGUGUAAUUUGGAUUUGUUGGACAAAUUGAAUGUUCAAUUCUCUUUAUGGAUUUAUUAGCCACUGAGGCAGUCGAGUUUUCAUUAGGAA